ACUUAGAUUCUUAAUGUUCCAAAGGAAGCGGCAGAGAAUCUACUGCACCUCACACACAAUCUCCGCAAGACAAACGACCCCACGGCACAGUCUCUGGCCUCUUCUCUCUCCACCAGACAGCUGUUGAGGAUCUGUCGCCGUCUCUCUCAGUACCCUGAGGAGAGCAUCGCCCACACUGUCAAAAAGGCUUGUCUUUCCAGGUUCCUGCCCAGCCUGGCCCGUGCUUCUCUUGAAAAAAGUCUUGCUAACAGCUCCAUACAGGAUAAACCAGAUCCUGCUGAAAACACUUGUGACUUCAGCUGUAAGUUCCAGUCAGCUACCUAGA